rnacentral:lncRNA from 1 species
AUUGUAUUCAGUAAGGGACAAUAACACAAGAACAUGGCAAUAUUUUGUAAUAAUACACAGAUUUUUAAAAAUGAAAGAAUGAAAAUUCCAGUCCUGGGUCAGAGACACUAGACACUCACUCUUCAUACUCAUAUAGAAGCUAGAAUCUACGUUAUCAAUUUGUUAUUAUAUUUACCUAAUAUCUUUCUUUUCCAGGCAGUUCUGCUUGGAAAGAGAUAAAUGUAUUCCAUGGCUUUGUGCCCAAGGAUUCAAUGAUUAAAUCACAAUGAGGAAAGUGACAAAUGGUCUAUCACUUUUGACUUACGUAUCUCCUGUCCUAAGAUUUGGGCAUUGUUUUAGCUAUUUUGCAGGGCUCAAAUAUGAAGUAGUGGCACAUAUCUCUGCUGUACUCACUGAAGCUCUUUCACAACGAUGACAAUUCCCUGACUGUGGAGGCAGCUUUAUAAUCCAAAAAGUUGCUUCUGAGCCAUUAUGUCCUUUGCACGUUGCCACAAAGCUGGAUAAAUAUCUCCAUUCUCAUUUUAUAAGUGGGAAACUGAACCUUAGUGGUUAUCUUGACUAAACACAGUAAACAUUCAGUUUUUUAGCAUGAAUAUGGAAUGUGUUAUUCUGUGCUAUUUGGUAAUGAUACAAUAGGCAGGACAUUGCUUAUAAAUUUUUUUCAUGUUGUAUUUUAUACAUUAUAAAUAUGAUUAUAUUUAAUAUCUAUAUAUCUAUAAUAAAAGUAUAAUUAAAUUGGUAAAAUUGGGACUCUACAUGUACAAAGUUCAAAUAAAAGAAUGUUUUGAAGAAAUCUUAUACCUAAAGUCUUCAGUACACUGUACUAGACACAGUGUUGACAUAGAUGGUGCUAAUGAGGUCUAGAUUGUGAUAAAACAAUGAUAAACUCUUCAUCCUAACUUCUGAUGUUUAUGAAAUUGACAUUUCUUUAUAAACAUCCACAAGAUAUUUUACUAAAACAAUAGAAUAAUACUUAAUGAAACUGUUUACUUCUUCACAGUAUCUAAGUAGCAAAUGUUUUGGAAGUUUCAACUGAUUACUUCCCUUACUUCCUCUUCCAAGAGCAUUGACUCUUCAUUAGUAAAUUGGGCAACUGAGUUGGGCAAGAGUUUAGGAGAAAGUGAUGACUCUCCAGUGUCAUGCAGAGAAAAGCCAUAAUGAAAUAAAUCAUCUUUUUUUUUUUUUAAAAAAAAAGUCCAUCUUUGACUUUGUGCAGAGUUCUCAGAUAGUAUUUCACCUUUCUCAUCCCCAGUCGAAUCCCUUACAAGCACAGACAAAAUUCUGUCAAGGUAAUGUCUCACAUUUCAAAAUCAGUCAACACACACUUAUUAAAUGUCACUGUGUGCAAAGCACAGUACAUAACUGUUGUCACUGUGUCUCAAAAGAAAUUACCACUUUUUUGCCACAUGUUCAAUAUAUUUUUGCUGAGAGGAGAAACACUUCUAUGCAAAAAAUCUACUUACACAGCUCUGUGCUUAUGUAAUAUACUCAAUUACUAAUUUUCAGUUUUCUCAGUGAAAUGAUCAAGCCACUCAGGUAUUAAAGGUAAAUAUCAAUUACGUAGUAGCAAAAUGUUUGAUUUUGGCCUAUGGGAUAUUAAAAAAUAACCCAGAGAAAUCCAUAUGUCAUAUACUGAAAAUGUCAAUCCAAUGUUUUGAAAUACUUACAACUACUCUAAGAAAAUGAUUAGGGUGAAAUACCUGAGGCACUUUCAGAAACUUUACAAUAGAGUAGAACUGGAGAGGACUAAGAACAGUCCUGUCCUAAAGGCAAUGUGAGAAUGUGAAGUGACUUUUCUACAAUUACCUCAUUACAUUUUACAUAUUUUUCUGGAUUGAUUCAAGUUUCCUUUAUUGUUGCAAGGAGGAAAAUUAUACAAUUUGCCAAGAGAAGGUCUUAGGUAAGGUUGUUCCAGAAACACAGGUUGCUUGAGGACUAGGUAGACUAUAGAGAAUCAACCCAUUUUAAGAGGCAUUUGUAGUGGUUUUCUCGUAUGAAAUAUCCUCCAUUCAUAACUGUUACUAUUGUUGCUUCUGUUUAAUUGAAGGUAAAGUAUUAUUUUUAAGGGAUGCAACAAAAGAUAAGUUUUCUGCAUGUGUUUUUGCUGAUUUACUAACAUCCUUCCUGAAAAUCUUUUGUUCUCAGAGACUCUCAUUCUCCAUUGUAUAGUUGGCAAUAUUUUAAUCCUUCAAAACUAGACCUCAAUAACAUUUCCUAUAUGGAGACUUUCUGGAAUCUUCUCUAGUGUUUGACUCGGUCAUUGAUUUCACUAGGCUUUCAUAACACUCCAUACCCAUCUCUAUCAAUGCUAACUCAUGCAUGUAGUACACAUACAUGACUGUCUCACCUCUUGGAGGCCCUGGAAGGCAAGGACCACUAGAGAAGUUUCCUGAAACCAUGUGUUGGCUAGACAAAAGUGAAUACAUCAUCCAAUUCAGGAGUAAAAUGCAAAUGUGUUCUUAUCGCUCCCUUAAAUUGGGCUUUCUCUGCAAAGACCCUGCUUCCCAUGUUGCACAUGGUUUAUCACAUGCAUCAAGAGAUUAGAAACAUUAAGCAGGUGACAGAUAUCAACAAUGAACUGGGGAUUUAUUGUAAUCAACCAAUAUGCUCAGCCUUGUAAUUGCUCAGAGCUUUUUGCUCCAUAAUUAUAUGGUUGCCUCAGUGUAGCCAUUCAAUGAUGUUAUAAUUAGUGAGUAAUUAAAGCAUUUGCCGAGAUGCUUUAGAGCAUGAAACAUGUGCAGGUUGAACAUGAGGAUUGAUAAACUACUUAGUCAACAGUUUUCUAAAAACAUUUUAGCAGAUCCUUUUCAAACCUCAGCAAUUGUAAAUCCCUUUUUGGCUUGCAGACUCUGCAUCUUAUUCCACAAGUUGCUUUGGGAACUGUCCAAAGCAUGGAAUGGGACCAUCCGAGUGCCGCCAUAUACUACUUCUUCCACCCACCCCACCUGUACUUCCACAUAUGCCAUUCAUCCACUUCUAAAAUAACUAUUCUACAUAGAAAUUGCCAGUUCACAGAGAAGUUCCACACAUAAAAUUUGUGAUUUUAUUUGAUGUAUGAGGUGGAUUCUGCAGAGCAUCAGCUCCAACUUAGAGAUGGAAAAAAGGCUCAGUGUUUAAGCCACUUGCCUUAGUUUAAAUGGCUAUUGGCAAAAUAGAACUGUUUCAAACCUGAGCCUCUUCAGAAUCUAAAAUGAGUGCUCUUUACAAUGUACUUCAUGUAAAAUGGGACAUGUCAGAAGCAGAAAGUGGCAGCACAGGGUGCCUUUGGGAGAAAAAGGAAAAAAUAUAUAAAAUAAAAAGUGAAAGCAGAGUAAUUGCUGAGAAAAGGUGAUAAGGAGUGUUGUUGAUACAUAAGAAUAUAGUUUCAAAAUUCUGAGUACUAAUCAAUACAUAAGCAUAUACUGGAUGCUGUAACAUACUCUUGUGUAAGAAUUUCCUUUUGUGUAAGAGGACAAUAUUAGUAGUACCUGAAUGAUAAGCUUGGAAUGCUUACUAAUCUGCAUGGAAUAUUACAUAACUGAAAUAAUCUAUAUUAAGCACUUAAAAUAGUGCCAGAUACAUCAUAACCCCCAAUGACUGAGAGCUAUUAGAAAGAGAGAGAGAGAGUGAGCAUGUGAGUGAGAAAGAGAGAAUGAAUACAGGUCCACAUGAAAAAGAAUAAAAGGAGUUUGAGAGGAGAAACGGGGCCCUGCCCACCCUGUGCUGCCCAGAGGAAGUAUGAGGACUCAUAAGCUCAGUGGGUCAUGUUCUCAGGGCCGGGACACACAUUCUCUGUUGCAGUGAUAGACUGUCCCUGCUUGCCUAGUCUGUGGCCAGUGAAUGUUGGACUCCAAUAGUUAAGCCCUUUUGUUAUGAUUCCAUCCUUUGUAAGUUUAAGAUUUGGUUUGCCUCAUGGCCAGGGAGAUGCUGCUCUCCAAAUGCCAGCACAUGCAUGUCAGUCCAAAAGUCAUUUACUUUGGCACUGUAAAUUUAAAAAAUAGCAUUCUGAGUUGUGCAUUAUCCACAGUGAUAACUGGUUUGUAACUCACGCUUUAUUGGCGUCUUCCCUGUCUCACUGCCACAUUCCCUUCCUGGCAUUUCUUUCUAAAUUAACUAGUUACCCUGUCAUGCCUGUCUUGGCGUCUGCCCCUGGGAGAACCCAAACUGUGACAAUCACCGCACUUCUCCGUGUCUCUCUUCUCUCUGCCUCUCAUCUUGGCUUCCUUCUCUUAGACUGCUCCACAUGGUGGGAGACAUGGCCACCAGCAGGAGUGGUAUCAUGUACCUAUCAGUCAUGAUGUGGGGGAAAAAGAGAGCCAUCCUUUCAACUCUAGUUCAGAAAAGUCCUGGGAAGAAUUCUUGUCUGUCAUGAAGUUGCUGUAAAGGGAGGUAGAGUGCUUGCUUUUUCUGGCCUAGUAAAAACCAGACAAGGAGGGGCAGGGUACUGUGACUAGCAGCCAUGUUAGAAACUCAGAGUGAAUGAGGAGCAAUCCCGUAAAGGAGGGAAAGGAGAAUCGCUAUUACCAAAGAGAGGAAGUAUGAAGAUGGCUGAGUAGAAGCCCCUAGCACUUGUCUCUCUCACAAAGACAGCCAGACAUCAAAUGAACAAAUACAUUUGGUGAAAAUAACAGAGAGAGCACUGGAGUGCAUUACAGAAGUGGCAGAAACCCUGGUGAGUAUAGAAACUGAGGGUGGUGACAUAGAGAAUGUAAGGAAACACAGACCUCCACCACCACAUCCCCAACUGGGAACAGCUGGAAACCAGGAGGAGCUUCUCCUAAUGGAGAAGAGGUAAGCAAGGGGGUCCCAGCAGACCCCAUGAGCACCUUGUACACCAUCAGUGGGGUGAACUGCAGCCCUCACAGACACUAAGCUCAGAUGAAGGGGCUGCCUGGAGUCCACACAGCAGUGAUGCCCCCAGAGAAGGAGCUGACACUGUGUCCCACCCUCUGUGGCCUGCACAGCUACUGUACUACACCAUGUCAGAACAGGAGCUAUGGCUGGAGGGUGUCUUGCUCUGGGGGUGAGUAACCGUGACUCAUUCAUCCCUGAGGGUAAGUCACCAUGGAAUCAUCCCAAGCCCAGCUGUGAGCAACUGUUACACCCUUCCCUGUGGGACCAAGUGGAGGUACAGCUGCUUCACCUAUCCCUCUUUCUCCUCAGGCUAGAAUUGAGGUGUCACCCUGCCUCCUGGACAAACAGUACCUUAGUAGCUCAGAGUAGUCAUGCCUUCCUAGUGCCUAAGAUGAAGCAGUGUCCUGCAUCCCAGGGAAACGGAAGGACCACCAGAAUAGUCAUGCCUCCUCAGACCUGAGGCAGUGUCACAUUGCCUCCUGGUCAGUUGGUGCCCUGGCUGAGCUGAGCAGCUGUGCAUCCCAGGGCUGAGAUGAUAUAGUACUCUGUAUUCUAGUGAGACAGAGCAGUGCCUAACACCGCACCCUAUGGGUCAAACAACUCUAGAACCGUCUUUUCUGGAGGUGUACAGAUCCUCUAGAGUCUGAACUAUUGAGACACCCAUCUCUUGGGGGAGUGGAGUCAUUGUGAUGCUGUUCCCUGAUCCCCCAGGGCCCAGAUGAUAGUUGUGCUUUACCAUUCUGGGGUGCUUUCUGCUGCAGCACCUGGUCUUGCUGAGUCUGGAACACUGCUGAGCCCCACCAUCCCAGGGCCUAGAGUCACUAAAACAUGGUGGCUCAUGCCCUGGAACCAAGUUGCUACUGAACCCUAUUAGCUCAAGUUCCCAAAUUUGCAGCCAUACCCUGCUCGCCAGGCCCAAAGUUCCAGAGCACAUCUUCCCCAGAGGCUGGUCAGUGCUGUGCCUUGCCCCUAGGCCAGGGGUAGAGCUACAGCUACAAGCCCCCAGGCACAAGCUGCUAGGGAGUGCUUCAGUCACAAAUUCUGGCUCUACGGGAACCCUACAUCCAAUCCUGCCACAGACAGCAAAACUGUACCCCAACACACAGCUGCCACAAUAGUUUUUUGAGACUCCGAGAUAAGGACGCCAGCCCCAUAGCCACUUCAAACAACUGAGCCUGGAACCCAGCACUGCUGAAGUUGUCUUUAGGCCAUGUCAGACCUGACACCAGGAGGGAUGUACUCAGCUAUGUCUCCCCAUUAUGUUCCCACAAGAAUAGAAGAACCUCAAAAGCCCCUUUUGAGGUUGACACUGAGAAAAUUAACAACUUAUGCCACUACUGCUGCUGCCCCAACCUUUAAACCCCAGACCAUUGAGAAACCCACAGUUACUGCUGAUGUUGAAUGCAGCUGAAGAAGCUUCAUGUAGACUAUACCACUAUAUCUACUGAAAAACAGAGUCAGUACACCCUGCCCAACAGCAAAGACCCAACUGCAGGUGAAAGUCUUUUCUAUGAAAUUCACUCUGGAAAGUUUAAAAGAGGCAAUUGUUCCACAAGAUGCACAGACAUCAAUGCAGGGACAUGAGAAACAUGAGAAAGCAAGAAAAUAUGAUACCACAAAAAGAAUAUAACUCUCGUAACAGAUCCCAGUGAAAAAAAAAUUGCCAGAAAAUAAUUUCAAAAUAAUCUUAAGGAAAUCCAACAAAAUACAGACAGGUAAUUUAAUAACAUCAAGAAAACAGUUCACAAUAUGAAUAAACUCAAAGACAUGGAAAUCAUAACAGAAAUCCUGAAGCUGAAGAAUUUAAUGAAUACAAGUAAAAUAGAGUUCCAACAGCAGGAUUGAUCAAGCAGAAGAAAGUAUCUGUGAAUUUGAAAAUAGGUCGAUUUGAAUUUACCCAGUCAGAGAAAAAAAAAGAUAAAGUGAAGUAAGCCUACAAAACUUAUGGGUCACGAUUCACUAAAAUAAUAUUGACAGUAUAGAAUUUUUUGAAGAGAAAAAAGAUAU